rnacentral:rRNA from 1 species
UACGUAGGGUGCGAGCGUUGUCCGGAAUUAUUGGGCGUAAAGAGCUCGUAGGCGGUCUGUCGCGUCUGCUGUGAAAACCCGAGGCUCAACCUCGGGCCUGCAGUGGGUACGGGCAGACUAGAGUGCGGUAGGGGGAGAAUGGAAUUCCUGGUGUAGCGGUGGAAUGCGCAGAUAUCAGGAGGAACACCGAUGGCGAAGGCAGUUCUCUGGGCCGUAACUGACGCUGAGGAGCGAAAGCGUGGGGAGCGAACAGG